ACGAACGCUGGCGGCAUGCCUAACACAUGCAAGUCGAACGAGACCUUCGGGUCUAGUGGCGCACGGGUGCGUAACGCGUGGGAACCUGCCCUUAGGUUCGGAAUAACUCCCCGAAAGGGGUGCUAAUACCGGAUAAUGUCUUCGGACCAAAGACUUAUCGCCUUUGGAUGGGCCCGCGUUGGAUUAGCUAGUUGGUAGGGUAAAAGCCUACCAAGGCGACGAUCCAUAGCUGGUCUGAGAGGAUGAUCAGCCACACUGGGACUGAGACACGGCCCAGACUCCUACGGGAGGCAGCAGUGGGGAAUAUUGGACAAUGGGCGAAAGCCUGAUCCAGCAAUGCCGCGUGAGUGAUGAAGGCCUUAGGGUUGUAAAGCUCUUUUACCCGGGAUGAUAAUGACAGUACCGGGAGAAUAAGCUCCGGCUAACUCCGUG
rnacentral:rRNA from 1 species